AUCCUCCAAGGCUAAAUACUCCUGACUGACCGAUAGUGAACCAGUACCGUGAGGGAAAGGCGAAAAGAACCCCGGCGAGGGGAGUGAAAAAGAACCUGAAACCGUGUACGUACAAGCAGUGGGAGCACGCUUAGGCGUGUGACUGCGUACCUUUUGUAUAAUGGGUCAGCGACUUAUAUUCUGUAGCAAGGUUAACCGAAUAGGGGAGCCGAAGGGAAACCGAGUCUUAACUGGGCGUUAAGUUGCAGGGUAUAGACCCGAAACCCGGUGAUCUAGCCAUGGGCAGGUUGAAGGUUGGGUAACACUAACUGGAGGACCGAACCGACUAAUGUUGAAAAAUUAGCGGAUGACUUGUGGCUGGGGGUGAAAGGCCAAUCAAACCGGGAGAUAGCUGGUUCUCCCCGAAAGCUAUUUAGGUAGCGCCUCGUGAAUUCAUCUCCGGGGGUAGAGCACUGUUUCGGCAAGGGGGUCAUCCCGACUUACCAACCCGAUGCAAACUGCGAAUACCGGAGAAUGUUAUCACGGGAGACACACGGCGGGUGCUAACGUCCGUCGUGAAGAGGGAAACAACCCAGACCGCCAGCUAAGGUCCCAAAGUCAUGGUUAAGUGGGAAACGAUGUGGGAAGGCCCAGACAGCCAGGAUGUUGGCUUAGAAGCAGCCAUCAUUUAAAGAAAGCGUAAUAGCUCACUGGUCGAGUCGGCCUGCGCGGAAGAUGUAACGGGGCUAAACCAUG
rnacentral:rRNA from 1 species